rnacentral:snRNA from 1 species
GUGCUCGCUUCGGCAGCACAUAUACUAAAAUUGGAACGAUACAGAGAACAUUAGCGGCCCCUGCGCAAGGAUGACACGCAAAUUCUUGAAGCGUUCCAUAUUUUU